GCAAAAAUAGCCCUAGCGGGAAUGCCACACCUUAUAGUAUGUGCUGCAAGACUGAAGCUAACAAUGCAAAAGUACUACAAAAGAUUUAAUGCCUGAUGAACCCAAGAGAGUGUGCUAAAAGACACACACAUCACAUUAGGAUUUGUACUCCUGUAAGUAUAUAAACCAAACAAUUUUCUGAAAAACAACAACAACAAAAAAGACAUUUUACCAGUUUUACAUGAGCUCACUCCAAAUUUCUCCACUUUAACUAAGAGCAAUUAACAAUCUUACGUUCAAGACAUUUGCACUGAAUCAGUGAUAAUCCACUCACAGUUCACUACAUUAAGUACUAGGAAGUUUCUGCAAUGGAAUGCAACUAAGUACAAAAUUAAUUUCUUAUUUUCUGCUAAAUCAGAAGCAGCAAAACCAGUCUCGUCUCAGCAGUUUGGCACAGCAGGGGAUGAGAAACAGCCAUCAGACCUACCUGUUACAGAAAACAGAUCUAAAAACACUGCCAACAUUUUUAAAGGACAUAUUCAGGCACACAAGAACAGGUAAAUAUGCAAUAUGGCUUGAAUAUAAAAUCUCAAAAAGAUAAUUGUAAGGAAAUUAGAAAAGGGUCAACAUGAUAAUAUCUUUAAUCAAGAUAACAUUACACAGCUUCACUCUGUUCUUUCCACACUACAAAAUGAAAUAAAUAAGCUUAGGAUCUAUUCAUAUGCUACUAUCAAAUACUCUGAAGUCCACAAUGCUCACCUUUGUUCAUGCUUUAUGAUGCACAUAAUAGGAAAUUUGUAUUGUUUACUUGGUUGGUUUUAAACACCAGAAGCAGGCAAAGUCUGCAGCAGUACCAGACAAAGGAAGGACAGUGACUACCUCUCAACAGGCGCAAGAUGAAGCAUUCGUACAUAGCACAACAUACGCCUCUUACCGAGCAUCCUCAUGUCCACAAAGGCCAGUGUGGACUACACCAGAUUCACAGAUACACAAGUCCUAGUGACUGUGGUGCCAAAGACUAAAAACCUCAAUUCUUCAUUAUUUCAAGCCCAAGGACAAUAUUUAUGGACAACAAUCAUGGCAGGAAGAAACCCAAACAUUCUGUACCAGGCACGAGUAUUGGUUUCGUCCACCUUUUAAAGUAAAGAAGCACCACUUUAAGAAGAGGAUUGUCUCAAAAAACCUGUGUGCCCCACACUGGUCUCUUUAGAAAUCAUCACUGCAUUUAUGAGGUCCACUGCAAAGCUGGACUCUGCUGGCCUCCCAGGAACAGUACUUAAUCCAAGGGGCUUUCAGAAAGGAGAUUAAGAACAGGGAUGCUCUUCUCUGUUACAGGCUAAAAACAUUGCUGCUCUUCUGUGAGGUGAUCCACUGAUACUCCUACUGAGAAGCCCCAGCCAUGCUGGAUGUCCUGUUUCAGGUUCUGCACAGCACAUAGUAACAGUCCUCUCUUACCUGAUGGAUUUUUAUAACCAGUGGCUUCGGUUCUUCAAGUACUUUGUAUGAAAAAGAUCAAUGUCUACAGAGGUCUAAAUUCAUUCAGCUGAAGUUCUGAGUACUUGAGCCACCCAAUUUAGGAAUGCAAGACUCCCUGAAUAUUCAGAGGGAAGGGACAGGCUCCUCAUGAAAACAACUGAGACCCAGGUUAGGCUUUCCCAGACAGAAUUCAGCUCCACCUCUCUUUCUCCCUUUUUAAGGAGUCAGUGACUGUAGGGAUCUUAGGUCAGGCAUGUUAGGUUAGGUAGGAAGGAGUCAGACCUCUCAAGCUGUAAAAUUUUGUAUUAUAUAAAGGUAAGCGGGCAAAGCACUCCUGAGGAUGGCAGAAAAUGUGUAUUCUAAGUACAUUAAUGGAUGUAAAACAGAAUCAUAAGGGAAAUUAAAAAAAACAUACUAUACUACCUGAUUAUCUAAGAAUAGUCUGAUUUUCUAGACAACUGUAAAGUUGCAAACUAGAGGGUACAUCCGGAGAAUGUCAGAGCACCGAAAAUAAAAUACUUAGUAUAGUGUAUGUACUCUAUGUACAGCUCUUGUAAGAAAUGUAAUACCAGUAAAUAUAGCAGAGGUUUACAGGAAAAGCUGUGAAGACAUUCUGCACAAAUUAAGAGAUUAACAAUGAAACAAUAUAGAGUAAAUAUGAGUUGCAGAAAGAUAUCCAGUAAUGUACACUGUUUCCCAGAACUGUCAGGUAUAGUAAUUUCUCAGUCACUGCUCAGAAGCAGUCUGACAUUUCCCAUAUCUCUUCCCCAAAGUUCAGUGACUGGAGGAGUCUUUUUUUGCAGAAAGCACUCUUAAUUUCUUAUGCUACGUAAGAGUUAUAAAAAUCCUACCAUAGUCUACCAUGAACAAUGCAUUAUACCUUCCACUAAGACAACUGUUUUGCUAGAAAACAAGCCUUGUGUGAUGUCUGUAGUGUAUAUUGCUACCAGACAGAAGAAGAAAAGACUUGUCUAACGUAUUACACAAGUGUCAGGCAUAGCUUAUUAUGUAUAAAACAUGCACACACACAAAAAAAGGCAACAGAAAGUAACAGAGCACAGGUAUCAAAAGAGAGGUUUUUAACCUCCCUUCAGACACAAGUAUAAAUCUUUGCAAACAAAAGGUUCAUGUGCGUAUGUAUCAAAGGAUUUAUCCUGCAGAUCUAUGCAUGUAGCAUUCCUACCGCCCACACUUCCCUUUUUGCCUAGACACUGAUGUGCAGCACAAGUGGAUCCAUACCCACACCACAAGACAUUCAUCACCACGACCUGCAAAGUUUCUGUUGACUCUGUGAGUACCGUCCCCUGAAAGAGCUGUGUGCACUUUCCCUCCUACCUCCCUCUAUUCCAAGCUGUUGGCAAUGACCCUGUUCUUCUGUGCCAUGUCCCUCACAUCACAGCCCAUGCCAUAGGCAUAUUUCAGGUAACCCUCUUCUCCUCCCCAUUCCAUUUUAUUCUCAAGGCCUAUCUUCUCUUUCUGACUUGUCAAUAUGAUCCUCCCCAACACUUGUAGGUAGGAAGAGACAAGGCACACAGCAUCACUUAACAUUAUGUACCAGCUAUAAGAAAGGCACUGGAUUAAUUUGUGGAGACAAUAAACACAAAACCCAGGAGGGCUGGAAGGAGGCUCUUUUCACUCAUGGUUCUUUCCAGCUGCUCAUGGUGGCUGACCCCCACUCCAUGGCAAAGAGAAUAUUAAAAAUGUCCUACUUCAUUCACUGCUGCUAGACUCUGUCAUGCUUCUUACCUCCAUCUGUAUUUCUUUAAGAGUGUAAGUGUUUUGAAGUGUCAGUCUCUUAGCCUCCUCAGGCAGUGAGGCAGGUAGGUACCGUUAGCAGUCUGUCGAGUAUUAAUGCCUGUAUCAACCACUCCUUUGAUCUACGAACAACAACAAACCAUUACAAUAAACCAGUCUUUCAACCCGACGCCAGCUUCAGAGUAUGCCCUCAGUUCCAUCGUCUCCCUUUCAGUGAGGCCUAGAAUAUUUCCUGACAUUUUAAAAUUAAUUGGCUACAGAGCUCCUGUUAUUACCAUAUCACCUCCAGACAAAUACAGAAAUGCCAUCCAGUUGAGUGUGCUUGAUCCCGCUUAUGAUAAAAUUAAAGGCAAAACUCCCCUUGAUUUCAGUGUGGAACAAAGUGACUUUGUAAAGCAAAGAAAAUCCCAUAUAGCUGUCAACAGCUGCAGCUAACAAGGAAUAAUCCAGACCUAGAAAAUAAAGAGUUCAUAUCUUAACUAAAACACUUUGAACAUUUUUAUCCAUGGACAACCUAUUCUGUUGGAAAAGACAUCAGACAAACAUGUAGAGCAGCAAGCUGCAUUUUGGAAUACAGAUCACAGCAACUACUCUUAGAAUGAGAUCUCAAAACCUUAAAACAAACAUGUAAUUUGAUGGGUUAGGAUUAAUUUAAGAUACAAUUAGUUUAGGCCAUGAUAUCUGAAUGUUCUUUUUCCUAUGCAAUUACAAUAAUAGGAACCAACUAAUUUUUAAUUUUUUCUAAGAAAACUGGAACAUGAGACACUGAAGCAUAGCCAUCAUUACUGCACAUUUUCUGUCUGAUGUCACAGGAUGUUAGUGAAAAUGACAGAAUGAAAACUUCUUGCAAGUACUAAGAGUUUCAAUUCCACAUUUAAGUAUGCUUAUUCUCAACAGAUUGUCUCCUCAUACAUGUACACUUUUGGGGAGACUGACAACAAAAUAUCUGAAGUUUGUUGUUUUUAAAGAAAAAUCUAUUAUGACCAACAUUUUGAGGAUCAAGAGUCCCUAAUUUGCACUGAAGAACAGUAAAGAAAAACUGACUUAUGCUAAAGAAUGGCACUGAUCCAAUAGUUUAUUCUUGAAAAUAAUUCUGAUACAAUAAAAAACUUAAUAUUAGUGCUUUUGAACCCACGAGGCACAGUUUAAAGGGUGAGAUGUCUCUGCUCCUGGACAGGUAAAACCAGCCUCAGACAAGUAUCUUCAAACCAGACUGCCACUUACUGUUUCAUCUUUAUUAAAAGUUGUUUAUGUUUUGAUUGUAUAAAUCAUAGUAAGCUGCUACUAUAAUUGUAUUCAUAAGAAAGCAAAGAAACUGGGGAAACUGCCUAGGGAAAAGUAGUACUUCUGGUAUUACAAUCUAUAGUUGAGGAACAAGAUCCAGAUUUUACAAAAAAGAACAUGUGGUGGCUUUAUCUAGGGCCCAAAAAACUCCUACAUGAGAGAACAGAAGCUGUGUUCAGGGACUCUGUUUUCCUCUGGAUCACCAUAAGACAAUUCUGAGCUACAAUAUCUAAGGUUUCCUGGGGAAAUGCUAGCCAAGGCUAGAUGAAAUGCAGCCUGAUUGUUUUCCAGGGGGAAACUAUUACAGGCAUAAAGCAGAUUUUCAAAGCAGAAACCACCCACAACAACUGGAGCAGUCUAGUUCAAGCAGAUGAAGAAGAGCAAACUGGUCCAGGCUCCACCAAAUAAAUAUAAAUAUAGAAGAGAGACAAGCCCUGUGACUACCAUCUCCAAAAAACCCUGGAGUUGCACAUAGAGAUGGGCAAGUCCGGUGGUGCCUGUAUGAUUUCUGAACUCCACUCAUACUGAGUUGGUUGUCAGUACGCCUCCAGCACAAUAACUAAAUAUUACUGCGGGGUAUCACACAAUCAUAUGUAGGACCUGUAUAUCUGCUCACGUUACUGCACGAGGUUUUAAUUUACUUUUUUCUUCUUUUACUCCAGUUCAAAAAGGUUUCUAGUUCUGUGUUUAAAAGGUCUUGUGAGAGUUUUCAAAGAAGAACAUCUGCAAAAGUGAUGGGAAAUAUUCCAUUUCACUCUUUCACAGACAAAAGCAUGAGAAUGGUUCUGAAUGAAGGUUUAAACCAUAGUUUCAUUUAAUUUUAAUGAGGACCAUUAGUUAGACUUAACACUUUUUUGCUGCCAUUGAAUCAUCACAGAAGAAAAUUAAUUACAGUUUUUAAUACUGCACUUAAAGUAAGGCUCAAAGGAGAAAUUUUUUGAACCUAUUUUUCUAGUAACAAAUCCUCUGUCAAGGAAGUGUCCUAAAUUCAUCAAGGAUUAGGUUUUAGGGCAUUGCAAUGAAAGUCUACAGUUUAAUUAAUUAGUAUUUGUAGACGUCUGCACAAGUAAGCAAGUUGGAAAACUGUUCAGCUCUGCAGGCCUUAAACCUGAAUUCUGGAAGCAAGACCCAGACACGCACAUCACCCUGCAACAAGGCUGUGGCCAUGCGAGCAGCCAUGGCCUGCUUGGAUGUCUUGCCAUGGGAAUCAGUUCUGUUCUCCUAAGGACAACAAGAACUUCCUGCUGUCUGAUUUUGCGCACAAAUGAAUGAAAUAUGCUUUGUUCCACAUAGGCUAGUUUAAAUUGAUGUUAUUACUCACUAGAUGAAACGCUACUCAACACUAGACAGUAAAACUGGAAUGUCGGUGAUGUUAAAACUUGAUUUUUGAACAGGCAUUUCCAUUAGGGGUUCCAAAGCAGUGCAGGAAUUCAUUUCUGUGUAUACGUUGGGUUUGUGUGACCAAGUUUUGGUAGCAGGGGGCUACAGGGGCAACUUCUGUGAGCAGGUGCCAGACGCUUCCCCUAUGCCCAGGAGACAGUGCCAGCUGGCUCCAAGAGGCGUCCAUCUCUGGCCAAGGCCAAGCCCACCAACAAUGGUGGUAGCACCUCUGGGAUAACAUUUUUAAGACAGGUAAAAAGUUUCAGCACAAGACAAGACAACAAGAGGGGUGAAAAAGAGUGUCAAACAACUAUGCAAACACCAAGAUCAGUGAAGAAGGGAAAGGAAGUGCUUCAAGCACCGGAGCAGAGAUUCCCCUGAUGCCCAGGAUGCAGACCAUGGUGAGAUAGCUGUGGCCUGGAAGCUCUUGGAGGCCCACAGUGAAGCAGAGAUCCACCUGCAGCCCAAGGAGGACCCCAAGCAAAAGCAGGUGGAUACCUGAAGGAGGCUGUGACCCCAUGGGAAGCCCACACUGGAGCAGGCUCCUGGUAGGAUCUGCAGACCCAUGGAGAGAAGAGCCCACCACUGGAGCAAGUUUGCUGGCAGGGCCUGUGACCCUGCAGGGAACUCAUACUGGAGCAGUGGAAGGGACCCACACUGGAGCAGCCUGUUCCUGACAGACUGCACCUAGUGAAAGGGACCCAUGCUGGAGAAGUUUGUGAACCGCAGACCAUGGGAAGAACUCACAUUGGAGAAGUUUGGAGAAUUGUCUUCUAUGGGAGGGACCCCACAGGAGACCCCUUGGUGGAGCAAGGUAAGGAGUCCUCCCCCUGAGGAGGAAGGAGUGGUUGUAAAUACAUGCGAAGAACUGGUCACGAUCCCAGGGGGAGAAGGUGUUUUUUACGAUUCGGUUUUAUUUCUCAUUACCUUACUUGACUGCUAAUAAUUUCAUUUCUCUGAGUCAACUCUGAUUUUCCCUUGACAGUAAUGGGUGAGUGAUCUCUCCCCAUUCCCAUCUCAACACAGGAGCCCUUUGUUACAUUUUCUCUCCCCAUGUCCAGUUGAGGAGGGGAAUGAUAGAGAGACUCUGGUGGGCACCUGGCGUCCAGUCAGGGUCAGGCCACCACAGCGUAAGGCCUGCAAACAGAUAAAGACACUGAUUUAACAAAUUCAUCACUUGUAACACAUUAGCUUAAAAACCGCAUACUAAUGUUUCUGGUACUUUCUCUCUCAACAUCAAUGAUAAAUUAACUUGAUUGCUGUAUUUUUCUAACCUUUAACCAGAAGCUAAAUGUUUGCACUAAAGACAUUCAGGUCUAAUUCUGAAAGCAUUCCUGGAAAUAAAAACAAACAGCCCUGUUAGCAGUGGAAUUAACGCAGCUGUUUUCCUGCAGAGCUCUAUCCUUCAUCAUCACCAAACCUUUAUUGAAGUCCCAUUUUUUUUUCUGUCCAUUUCAAUGCAAAAAAGCCACCUAAGGCAAAGGUAAUGACAAUCCCAGAGACCUUCCCAGCUGCUUAAGCAGGUGACAAGCAGCUCUACUUGUCUUUCCUCCAGUCCCAGCCUUGGGUCUCUCUCCUCUUCCCAGCCCCUGAGGCCUGUAGAAACCUAAUUAUCUGAAAGACUCCUUUCUGUUUCACUUGAAAUUAGCCAAUGGCUUCAGAAGUAAUUAGGUAAGAGACUGACAGACAGAAAGGGCAACCAGAAGUCUGAUCAGCCCAGGAAGAUAGGCUAUAAAAAAAUUAUACAUAGCCUCUACCGACUGAAUUGAUUACUCACAUGAGGGAAUUUCCUCCUGUGUAGAGGCCUGCAGAAAGAGGUAUUUCAAAGGCCGUUAGAAACACGUAACAUAAAUCAAAUCAAAGGGACUUUAGUAGGAACAGGACCUGAUCAAAUAUGCAACACAACAGUUCUCUCUUUCCAGCUCCCUUCUUCCUAAUUAGUAUUUUGUCAGAGUUCAGUGUGUUCUCAUCCUGGUGGAAAAUUUUAGUUACAAAUUAAACAAAAUAUGCUUAUAUUUUCUAUAUGAAUUUUCUGACAGAUUUCCAGCUUAUAGUAAAACUGGUGUGAAUUUUUUCUCCCACGUUAAAUGUGGCAUCAAGUGUAUAAUUUUUCUUCAAGAAGCAAAGAAAUUAAUAGAGGUGAAAACUCAGUGUCAUGAAAAAUGGACUAAUUUAAAAUGCAAAGUACAAAAAAAAAUAUCAUUUAUAGUUUUCAUUUUUAAAUUCCCAAUUCAAUUAAAGCAUAUAUUCACAUAAAGAGUCAGAGAUAAUGUAUUUGACAGAGCUUUCUUGGUGUAUUGUAGAAUAAUUUUUUUCACUAUGCAACUAGCUCUGUAAAUGGUUUAAUAUUAAUAAAAUUAAACAUUAAUUGACUUUAAUUAGACUUUUCUCAUAUAGAGGCUCAAAAAAUAAUGGAUUUUUUCAGCCAGUUUCUCUGCUUUAAAGAGAUGGGCCACAUUUUGAGAACAUAUUUGAGUUUCCCAGUAAAAUCAAAAUAUCUGUGCACAUCAAAACCAAAGUAUAUCCACACAUCAUGCAAGGGCAAAGCUGCAAAACACUGUGGAAGCAAUGUAGGUUCCCAGUAUGGAAAACCUGAAAGUUAUAAGCAUAUCUGCAUUUUACUGAAAGAUUAUUUCAGAUUUUUUGAAAGUCCAUGAGUUUUUAGCUGACAACAGCCAGUACAGCAACCAGAAAUUUUAAAGUGGCAUCGAAACUCCAAAGGCAUACGUAAUUUCCAAUGUCAUCAAUUUUACCCAGUAUGGACAAUGGCUUGUGCACAUAGGUAUGGAUCAGUGCAAAGGUGAAUUCAGCCUAGGCCUCAUCUUGCAUGUCUUGGAUGGGAUGGAAGAUGAGGCCUAGGUUGUUUCAAGGUCUGUUAAAUUCAACAGACCUUGAAACAACUUCUGUUCCAUACUAAAUACUUGAAAUUAGAUGGAAAGCACCAUCUUCACAACCUCUCACUUAGGUGAUACAGCGGGCAGAACAGCAAUCACACUUAAGUGAUAUAGUGGGCAGAAUGGCAAUCAUAAUCAAAGCACUUCCUUUUAAGUGCUCCCUUCCUAAUAACCUGGAUGAUAAUAUUGGUCAGUCCAUGCAGUUUUGUAAAGCAUGUCUUAAUUUCUGGUGGUGCCCUUAAGCGCCCUUAUGUUUUUCCAAAUAUAUCGUUAUUCCCUUACAUGUCUGGCAGAUAAUAAGCAAACACAGAGAAUUGUUCCUUCAAUUAAACUGGUGCUGGAAGUAGGGACCCAUGUAAACAGGAAGCAGGAAUCGUGCCAAAAAGUAAUCUGCUUCUUAAUUUCUCCAUUAAGAUGUAACUGCCGUCCCAGCCAAUAUUUAUGUACUCUAAUUAAAAAGACAUUAGGAGAGCAAGGGCUCCGGUUCACAGCUCCACCUCUCCUCCAACCACUCUCCCAUAUCUUGCUGCCAUUGCAGGGACACCAGCAUACAGCUGAGAGUCUACAGGAGGAGCCAGGGUUUCCUUCAUGCUCGCAGGCUGGCUAACCACCAUCCCUUUUGCACCCAAAUGGAUUUUGGUGGAUCUGCUGGCUCUUCUGCCUAUCAGGCAAACAUAUAAGAAGAGUUGCAGAGUUCAAAGCACAUUUUUUACAUAUUUUGGUUAUAACUAGCACCAAAAAAGGCAAUGCGACUAUAGAAGGCACAGCUUAAAGCAAAGGGAUUGCAAAAUGCUUUAUUUUGGAUAUGGGGAAAUGCUUUUGUCUGGAAAAUAGCUUUCAGUAUAGGUUCUACCAACAUGUACUGUUUUAUAAAAAAUAAUUCCUGUAGCUUAUUUGUUGUUGUUGUUUAUUUUUGCUCAAGAAUUACACUGCAAAAGGAUAUCUGCAAAGUUUCUGUCCUGAGUCCUAAAUAAACCCCAACAACUGUAACAGUAACAACAGGUAACAACUGUACAGUAACAACAUUUGGCAUAGGACCACCAAUAGAUCUUUUUUCCAUAAAUAAUUCUUUUUAUUGAAAGUAUGAACUCCACAUCUGAUAAACUCUAAUUAAAGAAUACAAUAUUGCUGUGCGUCUCAAUGUAAAUACACAGCACACUUCAAAAAACACGUGCUAUAGUGGUCCCUGAUAGACCAAACAUAAUGUAAAGCUCACAUAGGAGAUGGUUUUUUGAAGUGGUGGAUCAAUAUCAGCCCUCUUCCCCAGUGAAGGACUAAAUCCAAAGCAAAAGGUUAAUAUGCUGUUCUGCGUCUCAUCUAGAGAAGAUGUUUUCUAAGGCAGAAAUUACUUGCAGAGGAGCCACCAUGUACUGGAUUGCUAACGCCUUUUGUAACUGGGACCUUAUUUUGAUUGUGCAAUAAAAUUAUUUUUUUGGCCAUGUUUCUAUAUUUUACUUCCAGGUUUUAUAGCCUGCAUUGAGAUUUGAGCACUUGACUGAGGGUAACUUUUCUGUAUUUGUUAUGCAGUUAAGGGACAGAAAAGGGUGCUCUGAAAUACCAACAAGAGGGUGACUUCACUCUGUUGACUAUAUAGGGCAUAUGUAGGGAAACUAAUUUAAGAAAGGAAAUUGGAUACCUAAACACUUCUAAAUAGUGGUCAGGCCUCCCCAAAGAUUUGGAAGGGUCCUACACUCCUUGUGCCCAUCAAGUCUUCAAACUGCUUAUAAAUACUGGCACUUAUCUCCAAUGCCUAAAUUGCAAGUCAAAAGCCUUAUCUGGAAGGACAAGUAAAUGCCCUUGCAGGUACCUACUGAUCAUUGCCAUACACUAAAUUGUGUAUCUGGUUUGAUUUCCCUGAAGUAAUUCAUGCUGAGAUUAAAACGGAAACUGAUUUUUUUCUAGUAAGGGCAAUAAACGAGAAAACAGUGUCCACACGCUUUCCACACAGGAUGAGGAGAGGGGAGGUGAGGCAAGGAACUGAAGAAAGACUUUUUUCAGUUUAGUAAAUGUUUUGCUUUUUUUCCUCCAUACAUAGAGAAGAGUGGUAGAAACUGAACCAAAGCUGCAGUUAAGGAAUUUUGUCUGUAAAAGACAAGUGAUAUAUCUAAUAGACAGCACUUCGUGACAUUUGGUACAUCCGAAUACAGCAGUCCACACAGACUGAGGACCAAGACUCCCUUGUCUUAACCACAAGAGCACCCUAAGGAGACAAAGCAUCACAGUCAGCUGAAUAUGCUGCAGCAAAGUAAUAAAAGAAACCGCCAAAUACUUCUGAUGAGGUACUUACCUGAUGAAGUAGCUGCAAAAGUCAAAUGAUUGUCAUACGAAAUGUCAGCUUGUAAACAGUUUUCAUGAACUAGGACAUUCAGAUUACUCCUCACCAAAGAGUCUUUCUGUGAUUCUUCAUCACAUUUUGUGAGUCUAUAUGCAUGUAGAAUACCACUGAGCUUGCAGCUAGACAGAGGUGAAAGGGGGAGUGCUGUUGGACACGUCCACAAAGAUUCUCAGCUGUCAUCAUCAAGAGACUUCAUGUAUUUCCUCAGCAAUUACAGCACUGCUUAAUUUGCACGGACGCUCAAAUGCCUCCCCAGCAGAACUGCUCAUGCCUGAGGCUCUCACUGGCUACUAUGAAGUGCAGAACUUUAAACAGAAAGGAUAGAUACGUCCUCAUGAAACUGGAAGAGCAUAACGACCUAUGACAUAUGUGGCUGUUCACUGAACUCUUCCUCUUCACAGAUUUCAAGUUAUUUGGAUGAUUAAUAAGAAAGGAAAAUGUUGAAGCAAACACUCAAACAAAAGCCCCAACCAUAUCAACAUUGCAGUGACAGAAAUAACACUAGGUAAGCUUCAAUGCACAUUCUGUCUCUCUUUGAUAACACAUAACAAUUCAGAAGACUAAGCUGUGCAGGAAGAUGCAUACAGCAGCAGUGUGUUACGCAUGCACAUUAUCUCACAGGUUCCUCUAGUCAGUGAUUAGUGCCAUAGUCAUACAUCCCUGCAUCUCACACAUUAGCGUCUACCGUGAUGGCUGAUUUGUGUGUUGUGAUGACUAAGAAUUAAUUCACAGUUAGAAGUUGCAAGUUUCAGGAAAUGCCUUGUGAAGGUGAGUGGUUGAUGCAUUCUGUGCUUUGCCUAGGCAUGGAUACGUGCAACUGCAGUGUUACAGUUGCCUGCUGCUCCCAGGACCUCCUUGCUAGGAUCUUAUAAUCACAGGUCUUGAUUCAGUAAGAAUUCUUGGGCCAGCCACACAAAACAAACCCAACACUGACAUCAGAUGGAUGCUUAGCAGGUUACAAAAAAAGAAAACAAAACAUAAACAAUGGAAGAUCACUUCAAAUGAAGCUUGAUUGGGUGUAUUCUUGAAAAGGUGCUCAAAUUACCUGAACGACUUUGUUUGAUCUUAAACACGGACCAGGGGCAGCUGCAACGAGCUCUGAGCUUUGGCACAUUCCAUUAUAUGAAUGGUAGUGAAUUUAUAAUGGAAUGGUAUGGAUGGUUUUUAUAAUCAGAAAAACACACUGACCUUAACACUACACAGGUGGAGCAGCAUAAUGACCCGCCAAUUGUAAGCGCAUCAAUUCCUGGGGAAAAGUUCAAUGAGGUUAACUCAGCAUGUAUCCCAUAACCAA